rnacentral:rRNA from 1 species
UACAGAGGGUGCAAGCGUUAAUCGGAAUUAUUGGGCGUAAAGAGCUCGUAGGCGGUUUGUCGCGUCUGCCGUGAAAAGUCCGGGGGCUCAACUCCGGAUCUGCGGUGGGUACGGGCAGACUAGAGUGAUGUAGGGGAGACUGGAAUUCCUGGUGUAGCGGUGGAAUGCGCAGAUAUCAGGAGGAACACCGAUGGCGAAGGCAGAUCUCUGGGCCGUAACUGACGCUGAGGAGCGAAAGCAUGGGGAGCGAACAGG